AACGCACAUUGCGCCCUCUGGUAUUCCGGAGGGCAUGCCUGUUCGAGCGUCAUUUGAAGACAAUCAAGCCUCUGGCUUGGCUUUGAGGCUCCGUCCCUUCACGGGGGCGGCCUCUAAACGUGUCGGCGGUGGCCCCGAGCCUCUAGCGUAGUAGAAUACAUUCCGCUUAGAGCGUUCUCGUGCUUCCUGCCUCCAAACCCCCCAACAUCUCCUAAGAUUGACCUCGGAUCAGGUAGGGAUACCCGCUGAACUUAA
rnacentral:misc_RNA from 1 species